GAUGAACGCUGGCGGCGUGCCUAAUACAUGCAAGUCGAGCGAACGGACGAGAAGCUUGCUUCUCUGAUGUUAGCGGCGGACGGGUGAGUAACACGUGGAUAACCUACCUAUAAGACUGGGAUAACUGCGGGAAACCGGAGCUAAGACCGGAUAAUAUUUUGAACCGCAUGGUUCAAAAGUGAAAGACGGUCUUGAUGUCACUUAUGGAUGGAUCCGCGCUGCAUUAGCUAGGUGGUAAGAUAACGGCUUAGGAAGGCAACGAUGCAUAGCCGACCUGAGAGGGUGAUCGGCCACACUGAAACUGAGACACGGUCCAGACUCCUACGGGAGGCAGCAGUAGGGAAGCUUCCGCGAUGGGCGAAAGCCUGACGGAGCAACGCCGCGUGAGUGCUGAAGGUCUUCGGAUCGUAAAACUCUGUUAUUAGGGAAGAACAUAUGUGUAAGUAACUGUGCACAUCUUGACGGUACCUAGUCAGAAAGCCACGGCUAACUACGUG
rnacentral:rRNA from 1 species